UACGUAGGGGGCAAGCGUUGUCCGGAUUUAUUGGGCGUAAAGAGCGUGUAGGCGGCCAGGUAGGUCCGUUGUGAAAACUGGAGGCUUAACCUCCAGCUGUCGAUGGAAACCAUCUGGCUAGAGUCCGGAAGAGGAGAGUGGAAUUCCUGGUGUAGCGGUGAAAUGCGCAGAUAUCAGGAGGAACACCAAUAGCGAAGGCAGCUCGCUGGGACGGUACUGACGCUAAGGCGCGAAAGCGUGGGGAGCGAACAGG
rnacentral:rRNA from 1 species